AUGGGACGCUCGCAGACCUGUAUGGAAGGAAGAGAAUUAUUAGAACUCUCGUCCGCCCCUCUCUUUACCCUCUGUAGCUGAACUUUCUUACUUAUGCGAUGAGGAGCUUACUUAGUAUUGAAAUCGAGUUGGCAGAAAGUACCGAAAGUCGGCCGCCCGCCCUAUCAUCCCGUGUCUCAACCAACCUUUUUCUUGUCGGAAAAUCUCUCUUUUGGCUUUUGAAACUUCGAUUCGUGACAGCUACUCAUACGUGCCAAAGAGACUUCCUUCCCUUACC
rnacentral:lncRNA from 1 species